rnacentral:rRNA from 1 species
GAUCAAGUGACCAAAGAGCAUCUGGUGGAUGCCUUGGCGGUAAGAGGCGAAGAAGGACGUGGUACGCUGCGAUAAGCUACGGGUAGGUGCGAACAACCGUUGAUCCGUAGAUUUCCGAAUGGGGAAACCCACCUUCGAUGACUGGAAUUGCGAGUGCGGGCCUUCGGGUUCGGAUUCGUAUUUCCAGUUAUCAGUGAAGGUAUCUAACCCUGAAUAAAAUAGGGGUUUAGAAGCAAACCCAGGGAACUGAAACAUCUAAGUACCUGGAGGAAAGGACAUCAACCGAGACUCCGCUAGUAGUGGCGAGCGAACGCGGACUAGGCCAGUGAUAAUCAAAGGACAAC